rnacentral:rRNA from 1 species
GAAUCUUGCGCAAUGGGCGAAAGCCUGACGCAGCGACGCCGCGUGCGGGAAGAAGGCCUUCGGGUUGUAAACCGCUUUCAGGAGGGACGAAGCCACUCGGGUGGAUAGCCCAGAGGGUGACGGUACCUCCAGAAGAAGCCCCGGCUAACUCCGUGCCAGCACCCGCGGUAAUACGUAGGGGGCAAGCGUUGUCCGGCUUCAGUGGGCGUAAAGAGCGUGUAGGCGGCAAGGUAGGUCGGUUGUGAAAACUGGAGGCUCAACCUUCAGACGUCGACCGAAACCAUCUGGCUAGAGUCCGGGAGAGGAGAGUGGAAUUCCUGGUGUAGCGGUGAAAUGCGCAGAUAUCAGGAAGAACACCCGUGGCGAAAGCGGCUCUCUGGAACGGUACUGACGCUGAGACGCGAAGGCGUGGGGAGCGAACAGG